ACCAAAGGAGCUGUAACUUAUUUUUAUUUUGGAAACUUCCAUAGUCUACCCUUUUGCUGCCAUUUGAUCUUAUUUCCCACAGCUCAUCAGCAUGAAGCCUCUGACUAGAUGGUUAUCUUUUAAAAAUCACCAUUUCUUCCUCCAACGCAAGAGAGUAACCCUGGAAUUAGAGCCUGGGUUAGGAUAAACCGGAAACUGUGGAUCAGUAACCCCAAAAGACACUGUGGGAGUGAGGAAGCAGCUGAUGCAGGUUGGACUCCAGGGACAGCAGCACAAAGGGUCACAGCCUCUCCACCAGCACUAACUGAGAAGGACCAAGGAUCCAGUGGGGAUAGUCUGUUGACCCAGACUCCACUCUUUUUGCCUGUCACCCCUGGAGAGCCAGCCUCCAUCUCCUGCAGGUUUAGUCAGAGCCUCCUGCAUACCUAUUUGAAUUGGUACUUACAGAAGGUGAGCCUUGGGGAUGCUCCACUACAGAAGCUCUGCAAAAACCCCCAGGGCUCUGCACUCU